UCUGGAUACUCAAUUUCAUCGAGCGCAUUCAAAACGUCUUGAGGCAUAAGAAUUUUUCUGUUAUUAUUCGUAGCAAUUUCCCCAGAACUAAGUAACGUUAGUCUUUAUUCAUUCAUAUACAAAGUGUUUCCAGAAGAAAAUAAAAUUGGCAAUUAUAUAAUAAAUUCUUUCAUCAUACAAGCCCUUCAAUAUGGUUAUAUAGUUAUAUAGAUUACAUACGCGGAUGUUAGAAAACUAACAAAAAGAGUUGCUGAAUUGAUCAUAGCCUUGAGAGCUUCUUUUUGUACAAGACUCUUUUCAGGUAAGACACCUUUGACUAAUCGCAUAAUGAUCGAUCGAGGAAGCGCCAGAUCAUCCAAUUCGGAAGUUUCUUUCGAUUUAUCUUGAUUCAUAUUGAUUUUCCAGCCGCUAGAUCUUUUACAAACGCUGUAUACAAGUCUUUUAUAAAUCCAAUCCAAAUAUCAUCCUAUGGUCACCAAACGAUAAUCACAGAGAAAGGCGGUUGCUUCUUUUUAGCUAAUUAAUGUAUAAUAAAUUCACUGAGUCGCCUAUUUCUGUCAAUUUUCACUAAACACUAUCUGUGCGUUAUGAGCAGAAUCCGAGAGAGCCUUAGAGUUGAAACAUUUGUAGAAAUGCUAUCAAAUUUC